rnacentral:rRNA from 1 species
AUUGAACGCUGGCGGCAGGCCUAACACAUGCAAGUCGAACGAGUGGCGGACGGGUGAGUAAUGUCUGGGAAACUGCCUGAUGGGGGGGGAUAACUACUGGAAACGGUAGCUUAUACCGCUUACUAUCAUUUUUGCCUAGAUGGGAUUGGCUUGUUGGUGGGGUAACGGCUCACAAAGGCGACGAGCACUAGCCUGUCGGAGAGGAAGACCGGCCAGACGGGAAUUGAGACACGGUCCAGGAGCCUACGGGAGGCAGCAGUGGGGAAUAUUGCAAAAUGGGCGCAAGCCUGAUGCAGCCAUGCGGCGUGUAUGAAGAGGGCCUUCGGGUUGUAAAGUACGUUCAGCGGGGAGGCGUUACCCGCAGAGGAAGCACCGGCUAACUCCGUGCCAGCAGCCGCGGUAAUAC